ACCCCUGACUUGUAGUCAUAAAUUCAUAAGCAUGAUGGGGUUUCCCACUCAUGUGUGAGAUGUGCUUCUCUCAAACCUUGUUACAAUGUUGACACAUUACCCCUCUGAUG
rfam:Otolemur garnettii contig038938, whole genome shotgun sequence.